rnacentral:rRNA from 1 species
AGAUCUAAUCCAGAGUACCACGAGACACGUGAAACCUUGUGGGAAGCAGGGAGGACCACCUCCCAAGGCUAAAUACUACCUAGUGACCGAUAGUGAAGCAGUACCGUGAGGGAAAGGUGAAAAGAACCCCGGAAGGGGAGUGAAAUAGAACCUGAAACCGUGUGCCUACAACCGAUCGGAGCACGUUAAAGUGUGACGAUGUGCUUUUUGUAGAACGAGCCAGCGAGUUACGCUAUGUAGCAAGGUUAAGUACUUAAGGUAUGGAGCCGAAGGGAAACCGAGUCUGAAAAGGGCGAAAAGUUGCAUGGUGUAGACCCGAAACCGGGUGACCUAUCCAUGGCCAGGUUGAAGCGAGAGUAAAAUCUCGUGGAGGACCGAACCACGUUGGUGUUGAAAAACCAUGGGAUGAGCUGUGGAUAGCGGAGAAAUUCCAAUCGAACUCGGAGAUAGCUGGUUCUCCUCGAAAUAGCUUUAGGGCUAGCGUCGUGUAAUUGAGUAAUGGAGGUAGAGCACUGAAUGGGCUAGGGGCUAUAGUAGUUACCGAACCCUAUCAAACUCCGAAUGCCAUAUACUUGUAUCACGGCAGUCAGACUGCGAAUGAUAAGAUCCGUAGUCAAAAGGGAAACAGCCCAGACCAUCAGCUAAGGUCCCAAAGUGUAAGUUAAGUGGAAAAGGAUGUGGGAUUUCUAAGACAACUAGGAUGUUGGCUUAGAAGCAGCCACUCAUUUAAAGAGUGCGUAAUAGCUCACUAGUCAAGAGAUCCUGCGCCGAAGAUGUCCGGGGCUCAAACUUACCACCGAAGCUAUGGGUGUACACUAUGUGUACGCGGUAGAGGAGCUUUCUGUAUGGGUUGAAGUCGUACCGUAAGGAGCGGUGGACUGUACAGAAGUGAGAAUGCUGGCAUAAGUAGCGAGAAAUAAGUGAGAAUCUUAUUGGCCGAAAACCUAAGGUUUCCUGAGGAAGGUUCGUCCGCUCAGGGUUAGUCGGGACCUAAGCCGAGGCCGAAAGGCGUAGGUGAUGGACAAUCGGUUGAUAUUCCGAUACCACCUAUUUACGUUUGAGAAAUGGGGUGACGCAGUAGGAUAAGAUGUGCGCACUAUUGGAUGUGCGUCUAAGCACUUAGGCAUGCUUGAUAGGCAAAUCCGUCGAGCUAAGCUGAGGUGUGAUGGGGAGCCAUUUAUGGCGAAGUAUCUGAUUCCACACUGCCAAGAAAAGCCUCUAUCGAGUGAAUAGGUGCCCGUACCGCAAACCGACACAGGUAGGUGAGGAGAGAAUCCUAAGGCCAUCGGAAGAAUUGCUGUUAAGGAACUCGGCAAAUUGACCCCGUAACUUCGGGAGAAGGGGUGCCUACGAAAGUAGGCCGCAGAGAAUAGGCCCAAGCAACUGUUUAGCAAAAACACAGGUCUCUGCUAAAGCGAAAGCUGAUGUAUAGGGGCUGACGCCUGCCCGGUGCUGGAAGGUUAAGGGGAACACUUAGCGUAAGCGAAGGUGUGAACUUAAGCCCCAGUAAACGGCGGCCGUAACUAUAACGGUCCUAAGGUAGCGAAAUUCCUUGUCGGGUAAGUUCCGACCCGCACGAAUGGCGUAAUGAUUUGGGCACUGUCUCAACAGCAAAUCCGGCGAAAUUGUAGUGCAAGUGAAGAUGCUUGCUACCCGCGAUUGGACGGAAAGACCCCGUAGAGCUUUACUGUAGCUUAGCAUUGAAUCUCGGUAUUGUCUGUACAGGAUAGGUGGGAGACUUGGAAACUUGGGCGUCAGCCUGAGUGGAGUCAUCCUUGGGAUACCACCCUGACAGUACUGGGGUUCUAACCGGCGGCCAUGAAUCUGGUCACGGGACAUUGUUAGGUGGGCAGUUUGACUGGGGCGGUCGCCUCCUAAAAAGUAACGGAGGCGCCCAAAAGUUCCCUCAGCGCGGUCGGAAAUCGCGCGAAGAGUGCAAAGGCAGAAGGGAGCUUGACUGCGACACAUACAGGUGGAGCAGGGACGAAAGUCGGGCUUAGUGAUCCGGUGGUACCUCGUGGGAGGGCCAUCGCUCAACGGAUAAAAGCUACCUCGGGGAUAACAGGCUGAUCUCCCCCAAGAGUCCACAUCGACGGGGAGGUUUGGCACCUCGAUGUCGGCUCGUCGCAUCCUGGGGCUGAAGUAGGUCCCAAGGGUUGGGCUGUUCGCCCAUUAAAGCGGCACGCGAGCUGGGUUCAGAACGUCGUGAGACAGUUCGGUCCCUAUCCGUCGCGGGCGUAGGAAAUUUGAGAGGAGCUGUCCUUAGUACGAGAGGACCGGGAUGGACCAACCUCUGGUGCACCAGUUGUCACGCCAGUGGCACAGCUGGGUAGCUAUGUUGGGACUGGAUAAACGCUGAAAGCAUCUAAGCGUGAAGCCAACCUCAAGAUGAGAUUUCCCAUAGCGUAAGCUAGUAAGACUCCUGGAAGAACACCAGGUUGAUAGGUCAGAGAUGUAAGCAUGGCAACAUGUUAAGUUGACUGAUACUAAUAAGUCGAGGGCUUGACCAAA